rnacentral:lncRNA from 10 species
CAGGCACCCGCCGCCAUGCCCGGCUAAUGUUUUGUAUUUUUAGUAGAGACGGGGUUUCACCAUGUUAGCCAGGAUGGUCUCGAUCUCCUGACCUUGUGAUCCGCCCGCCUUGGCCUCCCAAAGUGCUGGGAUUACAGGCGUGAGCCACCGCGCCUGGCCGCCCGAGCACUUUUACUUUUCCUUAGUUAUAUUCCUCUAAUUGUUUUCUCUUCUCUAGUUGUAGAUAAUGAGCAUUUUAUUAAUACCUUGUUCUUGAUCUUAGUGGGAAGGUAUGUAGUUUUUCCCUGUUAAGUAAAAUCCUGACUUUUGGACCAAGAAGACUGAGGCAUAAGAGUUUAUGUGUGUCCGUGUGUGUGCACGUACAUGUGUCUGUGUGUGUAUACACACAAACUAUAUAUAUGCUUGUGUGUAAUUGAAAUACAUAUGUCACAUAUAUAUCAUAUGUACUACUGCAUAUUAGGGUGUAAUAUUUAUAUUUGUAUAUAUACAUAAUAUUGAUGUUAAUGAAGCAUCCAUCAGUUUCUGUUUUCUUUAGUUUUUUUAAAUCAGGUUUUUCUGUCAAGCUUUUUCAAGUAUCUUCAUGGAUACAAGAUUUUUCUUCUUUGCUGUGUUAUAGUGGCCUAUCAUAUUAAUAGAUUUCCAAAUACUAAACUAGUCUAUAUUAUUGGAAUAAGUCCUAUUUGUCUGUUGUAUAUUAUGUUUUUAAUCUGGUACUGGAUUUUGUUUGGUUAUGUUUCAUUUUGGGUAUUUGUAUUGAUAUAAGUGGUAUUGUAGUGGCAUGUAAUUUUAUGUUAUUUAUUGGCUGAUCCAUCUUCUAACCCCUCCACCUCCUUGCCUUUUGGACUAACUUAACCUAGAAGGUUAUUACUCUCUCUCGGUGAUUUUAUCAGCUCCUUUGGCCUGCCUGUGGAUAAGCUUGGAUGUUCUGCUUUAGUUUCUCAGCCCACCAGCCUAGCGGCUCUGACUCUGCUAUCUCUUGGGAUCUACAUGGUCCUAGCUAUAUCACUGGGUUUGAACCCCUUGUUGAUAUCUUCUUUAUAAAUAACAGGAUAAUGUAACUUGCUUACUGGGCACUUCCUUUUUCUAAACUACAAGUUUGGGCGGGGUAUGCUGGCCCAAGACUGUAAUCCCAACACUUUGGGAGGCCAAAGCAGGUGGAUUGCUGGAGCCCAGGAGUUUUGCAUUUUUCUUUUCUUUUUCUUGAGACAAGGUCUCGCUCUGUUGCCUAGGCUGGAGUGCAGUGUUGCAUUCACAGCUCACUGCAGCCUUGACCUCCCAGGCUCAAGCCAUCCUCCUGCCUUAGCCUCCCAGUGCUGGGAUUACAGGCAUGAACAACCGCGCCUGCCCCCCUUUCUCCUUACUGGGUAUGUUAAAAUUAUUUCUUUCAAAAGAAAAGGCUGGUCAAAGUGCAACGGUGUUAACCACUAAUUGAUCACAACCAGUUACAGAUUUUUUUGUACCUUCUCCACUCCAACUGCUUCAUUUGACUAGCCUAUGGAC